GACGAACGCUGGCGGCGUGCUUAACACAUGCAAGUCGAACGGAAAGGCCCUGCUUUUGUGGGGUGCUCGAGUGGCGAACGGGUGAGUAACACGUGAGUAACCUGCCCUUGACUUUGGGAUAACUUCAGGAAACUGGUGCUAAUACUGGAUAUGUGCUCCUGCUGCAUGGUGGGGGUUGGAAAGCUCCGGCGGUGGUGGAUGGACUCGCGGCCUAUCAGCUUGUUGGUGGGGUAGUGGCCUACCAAGGCGGCGACGGGUAGCCGGCCUGAGAGGGUGAGCGGCGACAUUGGGACUGAGAGAAGGCACAGACUGGUAAGGGAGGAAGAAGUGGGGAAUAUUGAACCAGGGGCGCAAGCCUGAUGAAGAAGCGCCGCGGGCGGGAUGACGGCUUUGGGGUUGAAAAAAGCUUUCAGCAGAGAAGAAGCCUUUUGUGACGGUACCUGAAGAAGAAGCACCGGCUAACUACGUG
rnacentral:rRNA from 1 species